rnacentral:rRNA from 1 species
UCAGACGAUGCGUCAUGCAUAUCAAUAAGCGGAGGAAAAGAAACUAACAAGGAUUCCCCUAGUAACGGCGAGUGAAGCGGGAAGAGCUCAAAUUUGAAAUCUUCAAGGUUUGACCUUGACGAAUUGUAGUUUAAAGAAGUGUUUUCUGUUAGAGAGUUUGGUAAAAGUUCUUUGGAAUAGGACAUCAUAGAGGGUGAGAAUCCCGUAUUUGACCAUUAUUUCUAGCUUUGUGAUACACUUUCAAAGAGUCGGAUUGUUUGGGAAUGCAGUCCAAAAUGGGUGGUAAAUUUCAUCUAAAGCUAAAUAUUGGCGAGAGACCGAUAGCGAACAAGUACCGUGAGGGAAAGAUGAAAAGAACUUUGAAAAGAGAGUUAAACAGUACGUGAAAUUGUCAAAAGGGAAGCGUUUGACACCAGUGUUGUUUUCUCGAAAAUCAAUUAAAAAGAGUUGGAUUUUGUGUUGUAUUGACCUUAUCAGCUUUCUGCACUCUUUUCCUUGUCUUUUUUAAUGCACUUUUCGUUUAACAAGUCAACAUCAAUUUCUUUUGUUGUAAAAGGGUCAUUGGAAGGUGGCUUUCUCUUCGGAGAAAGUGUUUAUAGCCUUUGAUCUCUGCAAUCGGAGAGACUGAGGUCUGCAGCGUAGAUCCUUCGGGGUUAGAUACAUUUGUGCUAAGCUACAGCUUUUCAUAGACAACUUGUUGACUAUGUUUAGUCUUGUAACUUACCCGCUUAUGCUAUUUUACCUACGCUUAGGAUGUUGAUAUGCAUGACUGAUAU